UAGGGAAUAUUGGACAAUGGGUGCGAGCCUGAUCCAGCCAUGCCGCGUGCAGGAAGACGGCCUUCUGGGUUGUAAACUGCUUUUGCCAGGGGAUAAAAAGUCCCUGCGGGGAAAAUUGAAGGUACCUGGUGAAUAAGCCACGGCUAACUACGUGCCAGCAGCCGCGGUAAUACGUAGGUGGCAAGCGUUGUCCGGAUUUAUUGGGUUUAAAGGGUGCGUAGGUUGUGUUGUAAGUCAGUGGUGAAAUCCGGCAGCUUAACUGUCGAUGUGCCAUUGAUACUGCAGCACUUGAGUACAGACGAGGUAGGCGGAAUUGACGGUGUAGCGGUGAAAUGCUUAGAUAUCGUCAAGAACACCGAUAGCGAAGGCAGCUUACUAGACUGUAACUGACACUGAUGCACGAAAGUGUGGGGAUCAAACAG
rnacentral:rRNA from 1 species